GCCGGAGUGGUGAAACUGGUAGACGCAGAGGACUCAAAAUCCUCCGAACAUUAUGUUCGUGUCGGUUCAAUUCCGACCUCCGGCACCA
rnacentral:tRNA from 1 species